AGUGGGAUAACUGGAUCAAAUGAUGGAUCCAUUCCAAGUUUUCUGAGGAAUUGCCAUACUGCUUUCCAGAGUGGUUGCAUCAAUUUAUAGUCCCACCAGCAAU
rnacentral:pre_miRNA from 1 species